GAUGAAUGCUGGCGGCGUGCCUAAUACAUGCAAGUCGAGCGAACAGAUAAGGAGCUUGCUCCUUUGACGUUAGCGGCGGACGGGUGAGUAACACGUGGGUAACCUACCUAUAAGACUGGGAUAACUUCGGGAAGCCGGAGCUAAUACCGGAUAACAUUUGGAACCGCAUGGUUCUAAAGUGAAAGAUGGUUUUGCUAUCACUUAUAGAUGGACCCGCGCCGUAUUAGCUAGUUGGUAAGGUAACGGCUUACCAAGGCGACGAUACGUAGCCGACCUGAGAGGGUGAUCGGCCACACUGGAACUGAGACACGGUCCAGACUCCUACGGGAGGCAGCAGUAGGGAAUCUUCCGCAAUGGGCGAAAGCCUGACGGAGCAACGCCGCGUGAGUGAUGAAGGGUUUCGGCUCGUAAAACUCUGUUAUUAGGGAAGAACAAAUGUGUAAGUAACUGUGCACGUCUUGACGGUACCUAAUCAGAAAGCCACGGCUAACUACGU
rnacentral:rRNA from 1 species